rnacentral:rRNA from 1 species
GACGAACGCUGGCGGCGUGCCUAAUACAUGCAAGUCGAACGCAGUGGGGACGGGUGAGUAAAACGUGGGUAACCUCCCAUCAGAGGGGAUAACACUUGGAAACAGGUGCUAAAACCGAUACUGAUGGAUGGACCCGCGGUGCAUUAGCUGGUUGGUGAGGUAAAGGCGCACCAAGGCCACGAUGCCUAGCCUACCUGAGAGGUUGAGCGGCCACACUGGAACGGAGACACGGCCCAGACUCCUACGGGAGUCAGCAGUAGGGAAUCUUCUGCAAUGGACGAAAGUCUGACCGAGCAACGCCGCGUGAGUGAAGAAGGUUUUCGGAUCGUAAAACUCUGUUGUUAGAGAAGCGGUAUCUAACCAGAAAGCCACGGCUAACUACGUGCCAGCAGCCGCGGUAAUUC